rnacentral:lncRNA from 1 species
GCUAGUCUAGUGGUUAAAUAGUGUGUUAUUAUGGUGGAGGUCUUGUGUUCGAAUCCCUAUGUAGGCAAGGGAAUUAUUUUUUGCUCAGAUUUCAGGAUAAAGUUGUGUAAUAGGGGGAUUCUGAGUAGUGGAUGUGUAGUGGGAAUUAGGGGAUAAGAUUAAGGGAUUUUGGGGGUAUCGAGAUUUUAUUUUCUUUUUUUUCCCAUAAUCGAAUUUUGACUCUCUUUUCCAAAAGAAAUAUUUUGUUGUCUAUUCUUCUCCCUCUCCUCUUGUCAAAAUUCUCUGAGUUUUUCCAUGUUUCUCUUCCUUUUCUUUUUCUUGAUUUUUCCCUAAUCCAUUUAUUUUCCUUCGUUUUCGCACGCGGUUAGUGCUCGUUUCGUUUCGGUAAGUG